AUUGGCAGUCUCGAUAUUCCAGUCUUUACAAUAAUAUUAAUAGUGUUGUGAAAGAGACUUGAAACACGCGUCGUCACUAUAGGGGGUUCCCCAUAGCUACAUGUCUGGCUGAGAAUCAAAGUAUUAAUUAUUGUAAGGAAUAAAGAUGUCAGAAGAUAUCGAUGCUGAAUCACAGAAUGAAGACUAUCAUAUUUCUAGCAGUGAAUAUGAUGAUGUAUUCGAUGAGAAUACACAGGUAAAGAUCAUAGGAGCUGAUGAGGAAAAUACUUCUAGUGACGAUGAUAUUGGCGGUGGAGUGAGGAUCAAGACAUCAAACAUCAUUGUAGAUACUUCUGAUGAGGACAAUACUUGUAGUGACGAAAACAUUGGCGGUGGAGCGAGGAACAAGAUAUCAAAAAAAGGGAAAACAUACCACUUUACAAAUUGCACUAAUGUCCAAGUUGGGGAAAAACCCAGAAUGGACAUUCGAAGAUUGGAUGGUAUUAAGGAAAAAUGUAUAGCACUUCAGGAGGCAAACACGGAACAGAAGCAAGCCAUUCAAGAACAUCAACAAGCGAUACGCACAUUGCGGGAGGAACAGAAGCAAACCAUCCAAGAACAUCAGCAAGCGAUAGACAUAUUACGGGAGGCAGACAUGGAACAUAAGCAAACCAUCCAAGAACAUCAGCAAGCGAUAUAUAUACUACAGGAUAAGGUUACCGAACAACAAGAAAGCAUCAGACAAUUGAAAAAAUCGGACGUUGAAAACAAGAAAACUAUUACUGGAUUGCAACAUUCCAUUAAUAUACAACAAGAAGAGAUACAGUCUCUAAAGAUGAAAUCUAUUAAUAGUUCGCCUCUCCCAAAUGCAGCCAAUCAGAACAAAGAUGUGAAACUAUCAUCUGACAACUUGAAUGGAGAAGCAUUAUCUGGUAAAACAACCACAAAGAACAAGACUGGAUAUCCAUGGAAUGAGAAGACGUAUCAGUGCUUGUUGAGGUAAGC